rnacentral:lncRNA from 1 species
UCGAGUUGCUUUGGAAGCAUACAGCUACACGCUCGCUCAUUUAAGUGCUUGCGCGUGAACGUUCAUUUGGACACUUUGUUGGCUUUGUAACUCCGACCUGACAAAAAUA